rnacentral:hammerhead_ribozyme from 1 species
AUCUAGUUGAUGAGUCUUAAAUAGGACGAAACAUCCGUUCUGGAU